GCAACACCACAUUGAAAUUCCGGUUCCUGUACGAUCACCGAAGUUAAGUAACGUCGAACCUGGUCAGUACCUAGUUGGGUGACUGCUUGUGAAUAGAAGGUGCUGUCA